rnacentral:rRNA from 1 species
UGAUGACGAGACGCUAAGGCGUUGAAGCAGUGUAUGUCAGACUUCCAAGAAAAGCUCGCAAUGUCACAAAUAAAAAUGCCUGUACCAUAACCGACACAGGUGGGUAGGUAGAGUAUACUAAGGGGCGCGAGAUAACUCUCUCUAAGGAACUCGGCAAAAUGACUCCGUAACUUCGGGAGAAGGAGUGCCUUAUUUAUAAGGUUGCAAUAACAAGAUCCAAGCAACUGUUUAUCAAAAACACAGGUCUCCGCUAAGUCGUAAGACGAUGUAUGGGGGCUGACGCCUGCCCAGUGCCAGAAGGUUAAAGAAGUUGGUUAGUGUAUGCGAAGCUGAUGACUGAAGCCCUGGUGAACGGCGGCCGUAACGAUAACGGUCCUAAGGUAGCGAAAUUCCUUGUCGGGUAAGUUCCGACCCGCACGAAAGGCGUAAUGAUUUGGAUACUGUCUCGGAGAGAGGCUCGGUGAAAUAGACUUGUCUGUGAAGAUGCGGACUACCUGCACCAGGACAGAAAGACCCUAUGAAGCUUUACUGUAACUUGAAAUUGGAAUUGGACUUUGCUUGCGCAGUAUAGGUGGGAAGCGUUGAAAAUAUUCUUGCGGGAGUAUUGGAGCUAUCAGUGAGAUACCACUCUUGUAAUGUUAGAUUUCUAACUUUGAACCAUAAUCUGGUCAAAGAACAGUUUCAGGUGGGCAGUUUGACUGGGGCGGUCGCCUCCCAAAUGGUAACGGAGGCGUACAAAGGUUUCCUCUGAACGGAUAGAAAUCGUAUCUAGAGUGUAAAGGCAUAAGGAAGCUUGACUGUGAGACCUACAAGUCGAGCAGGGACGAAAGUCGGUCUUAGUGAUCUGACGGUACUGAGUGGAAAGGCCGUCACUCAACGGAUAAAAGUUACUCUAGGAUAACAGGCUGAUCUCCCCCAAGAGUUCACAUCGACGGGGAGGUUUGGCACCUCGAUGUCGGCUCAUCGCAUCCUGGGGCGGUAGUACGUCCCAAGGGUUGGGCUGUUCGCCCAUGAAAGCGGUACGCGAGCUGGGUUCAGAACGUCGUGAGACAGUUCGGUCCAUAUCCGGUGUAGGCGCUAGAAUAUUGAGAGGAGCCUUCUUUAGUACGAGAGGACCGAGAAGGACACACCGCUGGUGUACCAGUUAUCGUGCCAACGGUAAACGCUGGGUAGCUAUGUGUGGAGUGGAUAACCGCUGAAAGCAUCUAAGUGGGAAGCCCACCUCGAGAUGAGUAUUCUC